GUGCUCAGUUCCAACUCACACACACAGUAACACUGGAAUGAGAUUAGCAUGGCCCCUGUGCAAGGAUAACAUGCAAAUUGGUUGUGUUCUAUAACAUUUCC
rnacentral:snRNA from 14 species